rnacentral:rRNA from 1 species
AUUAUGUGGAUUAAUCGAUGCAACGCGAAAACCUUACUACCCUUGACAUGCUAGGAACUUGCCAGAGAUGGCUUGGUGCCCGAAAGGGAACCUAGACACAGGUGCUGCAUGGCUGUCGUCAGCUCGUGUCGUGAGAUGUUGGGUUAAGUCCCGCAACGAGCGCAACCCUUGUCAUUAAUUGCCAUCAUUCAGUUGGGCACUUUAAUGAGACUGCCGGUGACAAACCGGAGGAAGGUGGGGAUGACGUCAAGUCCUCAUGGCCCUUAUGGGUAGGGCUUCACACGUCAUACAAUGGUCGGUACAGAGGGUUGCCAACCCGCGAGGGGGAGCUAAUCCCACAAAGCCGAUCGUAGUCCGGAUCGCAGUCUGCAACUCGACUGCGUGAAGUCGGAAUCGCUAGUAAUCGUGGAUCAGCAUGUCACGGUGAAUACGUUCCCGGGUCUU